UUGAAAAAAUCAACGUGUGACAUUAGGUGUGUUGAGAAUCCACUCUUCAAACAUCUUAUUUGUGGCAGUAUAGCUUAUGAGGCUACAAUCUGAAGACUUACUCUUGAAAAUUUUCUAGAUGUGGAGCCUAUGUCAUUUGGUGUGGCCCUACUCAAGUGCUACAUCACUCAGAGGACUUCAACACCCCAGCAUUCAAAUGUAAUGUUGGAGAGGUCCUUGGCCGGCUGGACCCCACUUUGGCCGACUCGUCACACCCACCUGCAACCAGCGAGAUGGUGAGGACCACUCAGCAAGCCCACCAGCCACCAGCUUAGUGCUUGGGCUCCUGGAAACCACCCCCCACCCCUGGCCUCCUGGUUGUGUCGCUACCUGGUUCCACACUACAGAGGCACAGGGGGCAUAAGGGCCAUUGUCCUGAGCUGCAGAAGUGAACAACAGAUAGAGGGCCUCUCUCAGGCUCCUUCAUGAAAACUAAAGCUGACUGUAAAAGUGAAGAGAAUCUUGGAAAUAAAGGCACACCAGACCACCGUACUUGAAUUUGUACAUCUCUAGAACAAUACUUAACAGAACUCAGACUUUCAGCCUCCAUUCACAGCCUCUAAAAUCUCUGCUGGAAAUUUUUUUGAUGGUCAACAUUUUGUGUGCACAGUGACAUCAGAUUGUGAAGGUUCUACUAACGAGCUGUGGCAUGUUGAUCGGCUUCCUUCGAGGUUUUAGAUAUUUUAAUUUGAGCAGCUUCUUCCUUAGGAAGUGCUGCUCCUGACUGCAAGCCUUCAGGUUUAUUA